CCAAAGGUCAUAAAAAGGGAACUGAU
rnacentral:piRNA from 1 species